rnacentral:lncRNA from 1 species
GGGCAUGGUGGCAGGUGCCUGUAAUCCCAGCUACUCAGGAGGCUAAGGCAGAGAAUCGCUUGAACCUGGAAGGUGGAGGUUGCAGUGAACUGAGAUCGUGCCACUGCACUCCAGCCUGGGUGACAGAGUGAGACUCUGUCUCAAAAAAAAAAAAAGUAAAUAAAUAAAUUAAAUAAAUAAAUAAAUGCUUCAGGGAGUCACUAGAGGAGGGGUGAAGAUUCGGGGAGGAGAGAGGUCAGGUGUAGAAGAUGGUGGCAGGGACAGGCUUCCACAUACCAAGCUUGAUCUGGGAUAGGAUGGAGAGGAUAUCACCUCUCCCUUUUUUUUUUUUGUUUUUUUGUGUGUGUAUGUGUGUGUUUUUCUUUUUUGUUUUUUCAGCAUCAGUUUGGUGAAAAAAAGGAUGUCACCUCUUCCUGAGGAAGCAGAGAGGUGGGGGUGGAAACAUGGAGCUAUUUGCAGAGAAGUUCCUCAGAGGCAUCUCCUUCCUCAGCGGCCCCUUCACUCAGUGGAUUUGGAGACCAGGUUGUCUCAGGAGAGUAAAAAGAGACAUAGAGGCCAGGGCUUCAGCAGAGAGGGUUGGAGCAGUCACAGGACAGGAGGAAGAUGGAAAAUUACCAGAGACACAUAGAGAGGGUGUGGGCAGCCUUACUCAAAUGUUUCUGCUGUGCCGGGCAGUGUGCUGGGCACCAGCGAGGCAAAACUGAGGAAGGCACAGGGCUGGGGAGUGUGUAGUGAGUACAGAUGAGUAAAAAGAGGCUGGGGUGCUGCAUUUGAAGUCUGUGUGAGGCACAUCAUGGGUGCAGAGAAAAGAUCAGAAAAGACUCCAUGGAGAAGGAGGUGCUUGGCCUGAGACUCGAGAGAGGAAUAAACAUUUGCCAAAUAGACCAAUAGGAGCCAGUGAGGGGUGGGACCCCCCCAGAACAGAAAAAGCAGCUGAGCAGAGGCGUGCGGUACAGGACAAUGGUCAGAAGUGGCAGCCCCAGAGCCAGGACUAGGAGGAAGGGGAACGGGCUUGGGAAGAGCUUGGCUGAAGCAGCAGGCCUGGGUCCUAGAAGGGCUUGAAUGCAGGCUUAGGAAGCUUAGCCUGUGUCCUGGAGGCGUGCGGAACUGGCAGAGGGUCUGGAGAGCACAGGCAGAAUCGCCUUUUGGAAGGGUCACAUGGUGACAAAACCCAGGAUGGAUUGGAGCCAGAGGAACUGGAGGCCAGGACCUGAUAAGGAGGAAGCUGGCGUGGUCUGAGCUUAGAGGAAGCAGCUCUCGGGCUGCUGGCAUACAGUAUGGGGACUUCAACUAGGGCAGAAGCAGUGAGGUUGGAGCAGAGGGACAGAUUGCACCGUAUCAGGGAAACAAAAGUGGAAGGGGCUUGGGUCAUUGUGGAUGUGGGGAGUGAGGGAGGAUUCUAGAAUCACUCCCAAAUUUCCCACUUGGGUGACUCAAUAGAGGGUGGGGAGAGUUUAGAAGGAGCAGAGUUGGAGGAUGAGAUGAUGAGUUCAGAUUUGGGUAUGCUGCAUCGUGCCCUCUGGAGAGAGGCCAGUCAGGCACUUGGCUCCCGGGGUCUGGCGUUCAGGAACAUCAUGUGGAUCGGAAAGACAGUGGUUGGAAUGAUGGCCCCAUGGGGCAAAAUGCAGUUGGCCAGGGUACACUCGGAGGGGCACAAAGAUCGUGUGCAUAUGUGCACGUGCACACGUGUGUGUGUUCUUGGGUGGAACAAACCAUGGGGAACCCACUCAUCUGUGGACUGGAUCUCUGUUCUUUGUUGACCCCAAAAGAGCCUGAAGAAGAGCAGGCUAGAAGGUAGGAGGAAAGCCAGGGGGGCAGAGUUGCAGAACCCCAGUGGAGAUGGCAUCAAGGGGAGUGGCUGCUGGCCAUGCAGAGCAGGUGACAUGGCAGAGAGAACCCUUGUGGGAGGUCUGAGGUGAAGCCCCCACAUGUUGGUGACCUUGCUGGAGGGGAGUUGUUGCCAGGAAUGCGUGAUCCUGUGGGGGCCAGGGUGGAGGGGUGAGCAGGUGAGGCGAGGGGCAACGAGUGGCGGGACAGCAGGCAUGCCUGUGCCUGUGUGCUUCCAAGAAGCGUGGCUGUAGAGGAAGGGGAGAGAAGAGAGGCAAGAGGAAGGGGUGCGGGAUGAAAGGAGGCUUUUAGUUGCAGUUUAAGACUCUGGGGUGUUUGUGGCCUCUGAAGAAGGAGCAGUGGAAAGGCAUAAACAUCAGGGUUCUCAGAGGAGAAGGUGCAGCAGGAGAAGGAGGCCAGGAGAAGAAGUCUUCUGGAAGCAAAAGAGCAGGGCAACAAGGACCCCGAGGAGAGGUUGUCACAGGGCAAAGCCUCAUGGAACCCAGCAAAGAUGGGGCAGUCAGAGGAGCCCAAGUUGGGCAGGGCUGGAGGAAGGAGAAGGAAGCCAGAGUGAGUGUUUUAGAGCGGGAGCUGCUCCAGCCAACCAUGCUCUCCAGAUAGAAUGCGGACAGAGAC